AACGAACGCUGGCGGCAGGCUUAACACAUGCAAGUCGAGCGAGACCUUCGGGUCUAGCGGCGGACGGGUGAGUAACGCGUGGGAACGUGCCCUUCUCUACGGAAUAGCCCCGGGAAACUGGGAGUAAUACCGUAUACGCCCUUUGGGGGAAAGAUUUAUCGGAGAAGGAUCGGCCCGCGUUGGAUUAGGUAGUUGGUGGGGUAAUGGCCCACCAAGCCGACGAUCCAUAGCUGGUUUGAGAGGAUGAUCAGCCACACUGGGACUGAGACACGGCCCAGACUCCUACGGGAGGCAGCAGUGGGGAAUCUUACACAAUGGGGGCAACCCUGAUCUAGCCAUGCCGCGUGAGUGAUGAAGGCCUUAGGGUUGUAAAGCUCUUUCAGCUGGGAAGAUAAUGACGGUACCAGCAGAAGAAGCCCCGGCUAACUCCGUG
rnacentral:rRNA from 1 species